UACGCAGGGAGCAAGCGUUGUUCGGAUUUACUGGGCGUAAAGGGCGCGUAGGCGGCGUGUCAAGUCGAUUGUGAAAUCUCCGGGCUUAACUCGGAACGGCCAAUCGAUACUGACGUGCUAGAGUGCAGAAAGGGCAAUCGGAAUUCUUGGUGUAGCGGUGAAAUGCGUAGAUAUCAAGAGGAACACCUGAGGCGAAGGCGGGUUGCUAGGCUGACACUGACGUGAGUGCGGCGAAAGCCCAGGGGAGCAAACGGG
rnacentral:rRNA from 1 species